rnacentral:rRNA from 1 species
AGUGAACGCUGGCGGUAGGCCUAACACAUGCAAGUCGAACGGCAGCACAGUAAGAGCUUGCUCUUACGGGUGGCGAGUGGCGGACGGGUGAGGAAUACAUCGGAAUCUACUUUUUCGUGGGGGAUAACGUAGGGAGACUUACGCUAAUACCGCAUACGACCUACGGGUGAAAGCAGGGGAUCUUCGGACCUUGCGCGAUUGAAUGAGCCGAUGUCGGAUUAGCUAGUUGGCGGGGUAAAGGCCCACCAAGGCGACGAUCCGUAGCUGGUCUGAGAGGAUGAUCAGCCACACUGGAACUGGGACACGGUCCAGACUCCUACGGGAGGCAGCAGUGGGGAAUAUUGGACAAUGGGCGCAAGCCUGAUCCAGCCAUACCGCGUGGGUGAAGAAGGCCUUCGGGUUGUAAAGCCCUUUUGUUGGGAAAGAAAAGCAGCAGGUUAAUACCCCGCUGUUCUGACGGUACCCAAAGAAUAAGCACCGGCUAACUUCGUGC